UUUAAUUUAUUUGUCAUUUUUUACUUCUUUUUUGUUUUUUAAAUAUAAAAUAAAAUACUGUAGUCUUCUAGGAGUACCACGGAUAUUCUGCAUUAUCAGACAACCCAAACUCGGCAUUUCCUCUUCCCUGCAUAAUGGGAUGAAGUAAGCCUAUCACCUAACAGUUCUGGAUGGUCAACUGUUUCAUAUCUUCAAUGGCAAGUUUAAUAUAGUCCUCCCUGUUUAACCCAAAUCCCAAAUGGAUACUGCUAAACGAUGAUGAAUCCCCAGC